rnacentral:hammerhead_ribozyme from 2 species
AUCCAUCUGAAGAGUCCAAAAUAGGACGAAACGCGCAUCUUGGAU